UACGAAGGGUGCAAGCGUUAAUCGGAAUUACUGGGCGUAAAGCGCGCGUAGGUGGUUCAGCAAGUUGGAUGUGAAAGCCCUGGGCUCAACCUGGGAACUGCAUCCAAAACUACUGAGCUAGAGUACGGUAGGGGGUAGUGGAAUUUCCUGUGUAGCGGUGAAAUGCGUAGAUAUCGGGAGGAAUACCGGUGGCGAAGGCGACCACCUGGCCAAAUACUGACGCUGAGGUGCGAAAGCGUGGGGAGCAAACAGGAUUAGAAA
rnacentral:rRNA from 1 species